UCUGGUCUGUGGUAUUUAGUCCAGAAUGAUCUUGCCAUAAGCCAGGGGCUGGAUUAAAUGACUUUGUGAGGUCCCUUCCAGACCUACUUUCCUAUGAUUCUACAUGCGCUUUGGUAUUGAGAGACCAA